UGGAGAUGUGGCCCAACCAGUUCAUGUUUGUUUGGGCUGGGCCAGGAUGCGCCCCAAGAACCAAGGCUGGACCACCAAAUAUUCACUGGGAUUUCUCUUUUCUCAGGUGUUUGGAGCUGCUCUAAUAAUGAAGAAACAAAGCAAAACCACAAAAAUCACCUCUGAAUAAGGACGAGCUUUUCAUGAAAUAUUCCAAGGGACGUCUGGAGCUUCUCACUGGUGAGAACAUGACUCUCCUGAAGGAAACAAAGAAACCAGAGAUCAUCUCCACUCGCAGUCAGGUUUUAUGGAGAUGCAACAUGAAUUUUGGUCACUUAAUGUCCCUCAGCCUCUAACAGGUUUUCUUCAUGGAUUUAGCUCCAUCCGUCUUCCCAUGAACUGUGACCCGGAUCCCACAGCAUGAUGCUGCUCCCACCAUGUUUGACUGUGGGGGUGGUGUGUUCAGGGUAUGUGCUUUGUUAGUCUUCUGUUUAGCUCUGCUCUGAUAAGCUCACCUUCUUCCACACGUUUGCUGUGUCUCCUACAUGGCUCGUGAUGAAUUGCUAACAUGACGUCUUCUGACUUUCUUCCAUAAAUAACUUUCUUCUUGUGACUAUCAGAUAAUGGAUUGAACAGAGUUCAGUGAGAUGUUCAAAGCUUAAGAUAUUGUCUUUGAGCCUAACUCUGCUUUCAACUUCUCCACUUUCUCCCUGACCUUUCUGCUGUCUUCCCUGGUCUCCAUGAUGCUGGCUGUUUUCUGAUGUUCUCUAGCAAACAUCUGAGGCCAGAAACAGAACAUCUGGACUGUGGUUAGGUGACUAAUGGGAGACUCAGACUCAACUUUGACUUGGACUCGUGGUCUGAGACUCGAGGCUUAUUACCAGGAUUAAUCUCAUGGUUCUCCUGAAAUAAUGUGUCCCCCUGGUUACACGCCACCGUGCUCCACCAUGGCGUUCCAUUAGGUGUAGGUAUGAGUCCUGGAGGGUGGGGUCAGUGGACAGCAGACUGGUGAGGAGGAUCUCCUUGUGUGACAACCACACGAUGGUCACAGAAGAAGAACUGACACAAGACCCGGUCUGUGAGCUCCAGGCUGCAGCUGCUGCAUGUUUUACUGUGACAGGAUGAGCUUGAUCAUUAUGGGAUGUUAAUGGUUCAUAAUAACCUGCUCAUGUUAGCUGCAGCUUCAUAAUGAUAACCACAUGAACGUCUCUCCAACUGACCGCUGAAUUAAGUCAUUAGAUCAUUUAGGAACCAAAUAAAUGUUACUGAGGUUUUAAUGUGGAUUUAGAAAAUAAUUUCCUGAUAUUAUUAAAACCUGUUCAGCUCAGAGUGAGGAGAAGAAAACCCUCCAAACCAGAUUUAGAACAACAUCUCAUGAAGGAGAGGACAAUAUGAAGAGAGAGAGAAACGGCUGUUAACUUAGUUUUUACUUUACAAGAUAAUUAUUAAACGUUUAUGUAAUAAUUACAGCCUGAGGACAAACAGUCCAGCUCUGGACGCCUGACCUGCUGCGAUGCAGAGUUACAGGUGACCUGGAUGACAAUUAUUAUUUCAGUUGUUGAGCUUAGACUUGAAACUUGACUUGGAAAAAUUGUCAACAUCUCUAUUUUACAGGUAUGCACCAAGUCUCUGGUUGGAACGGGGCAAAAGGUGGAAAAGUUCAAGGGUUUGAAUACUUUUACAAGGCUCUGGAGUUCAUCGUCUACGCAGAUCUUCAUGUUUUCACACUGAUGAUCAGUUUACUUUAUUCAAACAAUAAUAGAUCAUAAAAUAAAAUGAUUUUUUAAAAGA